rnacentral:sRNA from 1 species
UUUUAUUUAAGAUUGUCCUUCUAAUGAUGCUGUUUUUGAAGUGGGAAUACUUUUAUUUAUUUUGCUUUAGAACCAGCCUCUUAGAGGAAGUGAUUUAGGAAUGGGAGUGGAGGGCAGGUGGGCUAGGGCAGGGGGAAAAGGAGGGAAGAUUUUUGGAAGCCCUUCUCUGCUACGGAGCCUCACAAAUCCUGGCCUGAUCUCCGCGGCCCCAGUGUAUCCCAUAUGCAGUGUUGCUGGAGGCUCUUGCCCUGCGUAAUGUGCGGCAGCUGGAAGACCUUGUGAUUGAGGCUGUGUAUGCUGACGUGCUUCGUGGCUCCCUGGACCAGCGCAACCAGCGGCUCGAGGUUGACUACAGCAUCGGGCGGGACAUCCAGCACCAGGACCUCAGUGCCAUUGCCCGAACCCUGCAGGAAUGGUGUGUGGGCUGUGAGGUUGUGCUGUCAGGCAUUGAGGAGCAGGUGAGCCGUGCCAACCAACACAAGGAGCAGCAGCUGGGCCUGAAGCAGCAGAUUGAGAGUGAGGUUGCCAACCUUAAAAAAACCAUUAAAGUUACGAC